AUCAACUUUCGAUGGUAGGAUAGAGGCCUACCAUGGUUAAACGGGUAACGGGGAAUUAGGGUUCGAUUCCGGAGAGGGAGCCUGAGAAACGGCUACCACAUCCAAGGAUGGCAGCAGGCGCGCAAAUUACCCAAUCCCGACACGGGGAGGUAGUGACAAUAAAUAACAAUACGGGGUUCUUUCGGAUUUCGUAAUUGGAAUGAGUACAAUUUAAAUCUCUUAACGAGGAACAAUUGGAGGGCAAGUCUGGUGCCAGCAGCCGCGGUAAUUCCAGCUCCAAUAGCGUAUAUUAAAGUUGCUGCAGUUAAAAAGCUCGUAGUUGAAUUUCGGGACCAUCAUGUCGGUCGUGCCUCGGUACGUACUGGUAUUGUUGGUUUCUCCCUUCUGACGAACCAUGAUGUCAUUUAUUUGGUGUUGUGGGGAAUCAGGACUGUUACUUUGAAAAAAUUAGAGUGUUUAAAGCAGGCUCACGCUUGAAUACAUUAGCAUGGAAUAAUGAAAUAGGACGUUUGAUUCUAUUUUGUUGGUUUCUAGGAUCGACGUAAUGAUUAAUAGGGAUAGUUGGGGGCAUUAGUAUUCAAUUGUCAGAGGUGAAAUUCUUGGAUUUAUUGAAGACUAACUACUGCGAAAGCAUUUGCCAAGGAUGUUUUCAUUAAUCAAGAACGAAAGUUAGGGGAUCGAAGACGAUCAGAUACCGUCGUAGUCUUAACCAUAAACUAUGCCGACUAGGAAUCAGACGAUGUUACUUUAAUGACUCGCUCGGCGCCUUAUGGGAAACCAAAGUGUUUGGGUUC
rnacentral:rRNA from 1 species